GCUACACAUGCAUGACUAAGUCGCUUUUGAUAAAAGUGUCUGCUAAAUGGCAUAUA
rfam:Salmo salar isolate Sally breed double haploid chromosome ssa20, whole genome shotgun sequence.